rnacentral:lncRNA from 1 species
GAUGUAGAACCCAAUGGGUCGUAUACAUAUAAAAAUGGAUCAAAGAUCCUUUUGAAAAAUGUUGAUUGAAAUUUUGGAUUCAAUCAGGGUUCCAGUAAGCAUACUAGCAUGUAUGGAAACCCUAGCUCCUUUGGAGAUCAAUUUGAUCUCAUGCCUUACUAGUUUAUUUAGCUCAAUUUGGUGGGCAUUUAGGUUAGGUCAAGCCACCUAGAAAUAGCUAAAAAAUAGGCACC